GACGAACGCUGGCGGCGUGCCUAAUACAUGCAAGUUGAGCGCUGAAGGUUGGUACUUGUACCAACUGGAUGAGCAGCGAACGGGUGAGUAACGCGUGGGGAAUCUGCCUUUGAGCGGGGGACAACAUUUGGAAACGAAUGCUAAUACCGCAUAAAAACUUUAAACACAAGUUUUAAGUUUGAAAGAUGCAAUUGCAUCACUCAAAGAUGAUCCCGCGUUGUAUUAGCUAGUUGGUGAGGUAAAGGCUCACCAAGGCGAUGAUACAUAGCCGACCUGAGAGGGUGAUCGGCCACAUUGGGACUGAGACACGGCCCAAACUCCUACGGGAGGUAGCAGUAGGGAAUCUUCGGCAAUGGACGAAAGUCUGACCGAGCAACGCCGCGUGAGUGAAGAAGGUUGUCGGAUCGUAAAACUCUGUUGGUAGAGAAGAACGUUGGUGAGAGUGGAAAGCUCAUCAAGUGACGGUAACUACCCAGAAAGGGACGGCUAACUACGUG
rnacentral:rRNA from 1 species